UACGUAGGUGGCAAGCGUUGUCCGGAUUUACUGGGCGUAAAGGGCGUGCAGGCGGUCUGUUAAGUCUAGGGUGAAAGCUCCCGGCUCAACUGGGAGAGGUCCUUGGAUACUGGCGGACUUGAGGGAGGCAGAGGAAAGUGGAAUUCCCGGUGUAGUGGUGAUAUGCGUAGAUAUCUGGAGGAACACCGGUGGCGAAGGCGGCAUCCUGGACCAUUACUGACACUGAAAAGCGAAAGCCAGGGGAGCAAACGGG
rnacentral:rRNA from 1 species